GAGACACCCUUAUGGGGCAGGACUUGCUUCAGUGGGGCUUUGGUGCUCACUGAGUCUGCCCCCUGAGUGUGCACU
rfam:Myotis lucifugus cont2.51406, whole genome shotgun sequence.